AAUGGACGCAAGUCUGAACCAGCCAUGCCGCGUGGAGGAUGACAGCCUUCUGGGUUGUAAACUUCUUUUAUAUGGGAAGAAAAGUACGGUUUCUACUGUAUCCGACGGUACCAUAUGAAUAAGCACCGGCUAACUCCGUGCCAGCAGCCGCGGUAAUACGGAGGGUGCAAGCGUUAUCCGGAUUUACUGGGUUUAAAGGGUGUGUAGGCGGAUAUUUAAGUCAGAGGUGAAAUCUCCGGGCUCAACCCGGAAACUGCCUUUGAUACUAUUUAUCUUGAAUUUCGUUGAGGUUGGCGGAAUAUAUCAUGUAGCGGUGAAAUGCAUAGAUAUGAUAUAGAACACCGAUUGCGUAGGCAGCUGGCUGAACGAACAUUGACGCUGAGGCACGAAAGCGUGGGUAGCGAA
rnacentral:rRNA from 1 species